CCACAAACGGUCGGUCGGAGGGGGGAAACGCUUCAUCGGCUCCGUGGCGUCCAACAUCUGACAGCCAGGCUUUUGUCAGCCACCGAUCUCGUCAAAACCUAAAAGAAAGAAAGCAUCUCAGAUGACGUAAAGUCGAAGUUCCAUGAGCUCUUCCUGGUUGGAGAAUUCCCGGAGGGAGGAGUUCAUCUCGUCCAGCAGAUCCUCUCCCAGCAGGAACGUCUCGACGUUGUGCAGCGUCAUACCGAUCCGGUGAUCCGUGAUGCGAUCCUGGGCAAAAUUGUACGUACGUAUUUUCUCAGAUCUUCCUUUGGUGCCAAUCUGUGGAGAAAGUGCAGGGAUGAAACAUAACACAUUUACAAACGGAGAGACAAACAUACUUAAAGCAGUGUGUACCUGCACUUUGCGCUGAUUAUAGCGCUUGCUGGUCUCCUCCUCCAGCUUCAUGCCGUAGAGUUUUGCCCGCAAAGCUUUCAUGGCCUUCUCCUUGUUUUUGAUCUGAGAGCGCUCCUGCUGGCACUCUGCCACAACACCUUGGACAGCAAAGAAACACUUACAGUCGGGAAGGUCAUAUCUUGUCAAGGGGCCAAGCUCCAGAAUGUGUUUGUACCAGUGGGCAGGUGCACAAUUCUGACAGCGCUGUCUGUGGUGUUGACAUGUUGACCCCCCGCGCCGCUUGCCCGCUUUGUUUCGAUCUUCAGGUCCUUUGGGUUUACUGUGAAGGAGAUCUGAAGAGGAACACAACAAAAGAACCAGUGGGUUGAGGCAGCACAACCACAGUCAUAGUGCUGGUGUGCAUGCGGCCCUGUUUUUCCGUCUUGGGGACCCGCUGGACACGGUGAACGCCGCCUUCGAACUUCAUCCUCCUGUAGCUCUGACGGCCACUGAUGCUCGCCGAGGCAUGGCGCAGUCCGCCUAGGCGCAAGACGUCAAAGGACCAGCCGUUGUACCGAGCGAAGCCUUCAUACAUGUCAAACAGCUUCACACGGGGAAAAAAAAAAAAAUCUAAUUACCUCAAUGAUGUCAGCAUUUUCCUGCCAACCUCAGCGGUGAACAGCAUGGCUUCCUGUCCGCCAACUCCCGCUGUCACUUCCAACACGAGGUCGCUCAGAUCAUCUUCCCCCUCUUUGAUCAAAAGAUGUAAUAUCUGAAACGGUGGGGCAGAGUGAAUUAAAAUGCAGCACUCGGAAAGCUUAAGUGUUAUCUCACAUUCUAGAACCCCCUGUAAUAGAAAUGAAGGGGCCAGAACUAAACUAUACUUGACUUCUGAUUUCAAAACUGGUAUACAUGGAAUUUAAAUGUAAUGGUUAUGUUAGGAUGCCUCCACAUUCUGUGUGGCUCACAAAGUUGCAAAUAAAAUCCUAAAUUACAGGAAAAA